GCUUUAGCACUGGGGACUUUUGGUGAUUGGAGUGGAAGACUGGGCAGGGUUAGAUGUUCUGUGCAAAUCUUGGGACAUAUUUUAAGGUCCCUCAAUACUGGAGCUGGCAUCUUUUCCCUCUCUCGCCCUCCACCAGCAGGAGUCAUCGUCUUUCACAUGUCUGCUGUCUGGUUGGUCUUCUCCCACCCUGACAAUUGCUUCCUUUCCAUUUUUCAUGAAGAGAGAGCUGGUGGGUCAAGCUAAUUGCUACUGAACUAUUGCUUUCUGCACCUGGUGCUCCAUCAGCCUGUGGUCAUCUUUGGAAUUGGAUGCCCUUGAGUCAGGCGCCCAUCCAUGUCCAACUGGGAUCUCAACUGCAGUCAGGCUGGGGUUCAGCUGCAGGCUCCAGCACACAGCCAGCAUUCCUGCUUCGGUCCUUCCACGGCACAGGGGAACGUGCAUAUGACUGAGUCUUCCUAGCUGCCGAGGAGGAGACGUGAGAAGCAAUGGAGGGGAAACUGAACAUGAGACAUUCGCCUUUCUGACCCCCACUCAUUUCAGCUGCCUGUCACAUCGCCGCAGGAUAGCAACUCUCCUGCGCAGCAGGCAUUCAGGAGCCAGGCCACACACCAGGAUCUGUCCUUCUAUCUAGCACCCUGUGCCUACUCUGAGGUUAGCAACAAGUGGCAACCUCUUCCUUCCUACAGACAAGAAGGUGACUGGCGCUUCCCAGCCCAUUAUUCCAGCCCACGCAGAGUGAGGUUAAUGGAACUGAGAUGAAGCUGGCUGGCGGGAGAGGGAGAGCCCUGAGGGGACCACACAGCUCAUCUUCCAUCCCUCAGCCUGCUCUUCCCCCACCCCAAGCUCUGGGCAUCUCUGUCCAAAGACAGAGAUGGGAAGGGCAGAGGGAUAAAGGGGUCUUACACUCUUACCAACAGAUUCUGCAGGGAGGGGUGCUGUCAGCUUGGUUAUCAUUAGGAAAGAUCAGUUUGUAAUGCCCUUAGACAGUUCUGUGAUUGGCUUGUGGGUACAGACGGAGGUAGACUGCUCAUCUCCACAAUGAAUCUGCUUCUUGGUAGGAGUGGUCCUAAAAGGGCAAGAGAGAAGGAGAGCGCCCACACGGAAUGAAUGGAUCUGGCAGCCUGGAUUCCAGGAAAGAUCUUUGAUGCCUGAGUAGAAAGUGCUUGAAGAGCUACAGACAGGGCUGAGGUCAGAGGUCAGAGGUCAGAGGUAAUCUGUAGUGGAAACAGGAGGUGAGAAAGCCUUCAUCUUCUAGAUGAACUGAGACCGGAACCGCAGAUUUCACAGAUGAAACUGGGCACGCUUCGUAACUCGAGCCCUGGGUAGAGCAUCACACUUGUUGAUCUGAAGGCCAUCCGGCUGCUCAGAUGACUUUCCUGCUGAUGAGGAAAGAAACACCCUCCCGGCUUCACCCCAUGACUUGUUGGGCAAUGGUGCAACACUGAGGUUCAUUGCAGUCUAAGAGACUCUUCCAUGAUCCCGCUCUUUUACCAGUCACAUCCUCCUACAUGGAAUAUACACAAUAUGCACACACACACACACACACAGAGAGAGAGAGAGAGAGAGAGAGAGAGAGAGAGAGAGAGAGAGAGGGAGAGAGGGAGAGAGGGAGAGAGAAAGAGAGAGAGGGAGAGAGAACAACUCACUACAUGGACCUGAGCCCACUUAGGACAGAAAGAAUAGGUUGUUUAGGAAGCACUUCAGGUUGGAUACCCAGAGGGGCUUUUAAACACAAAUAGAACAAUUUCAUCUCUGACUGGUGCUCUGUGUACCUGAUACUGCAUCUACCAUUGCGAAUGAAGAGCCACCUCAGAAGGUUCUAGGAGGUCCCGGCCAGCAGAGAGGACUAGAAACCAAUAACCCGGCCAUCUUGGAAAAACAAUAACCUGUCUCAGCACUGCACUGUGGGUUUUUGUUCUGGACUCAGGGCCCUUCUGCCAAAACAGAAUCGAAGCUGGGGCUGGAGGUGUGGACCUAGAGACAGCCGUGUUUGGAAAGUCUCUUUAGUAGGUAUGGCUGUGGAUAGAAGCACAUAGGUGCUGCCUCCCAGCAUAUGCAAGCUCUUCCUAGUCUCCCACUUUCAGUAGAUGCUAAGUGGAGAUGGUUUGGACAAUGUGUGCCUGAACUCUUGGUUCAAAGAUAUAUUCUGAUCACUGGCUUAUAAAAGUCUAGACUUUG
rnacentral:lncRNA from 1 species